rnacentral:sRNA from 1 species
GGGCAACUCAGUGAAGACCGGAUACCACCGGGCUGAGACUGGAUCGUUUGGUUAAAACGGCUAUGAAGGAUACUUCAUAGUGAUCGUGAGAGCUCAUCGCUCGUGAGAGCAAGAGUCCGUCCAUCGAAGAUGGGCGUCCACCGACAUGGUGCUGUUACGCAGCGAGGGUAAAGCAGAUAUCUUCCGGGUCCCGUAAGACCUGUCCUGCAGGCACCGCCAGCUCCGCGUAGUUUUCCGGCGCGGAAUACUGGCGGUACAAUCGGGCGAAGGGGCUUUGUGGCUGUUGAGGCCGUCAAGGACGGUGUAUAACGGAAGAAAUCGUGCAAGUAGGGCAAAUCAGCCUUUGUCACUGGUAGCGCAAAACGCUAUAUGGAAAACAUUCUGAAUGGUGCCUGAACGUUGGAGGUCCUAAUCCUCCCGGAGCUCGAAAGCGGGAAGAAGCGCGGAAGUAGCUAGCCGUUGCUCAGACUUCUCGUCUCCGCGGCUGAACAACUCGGACUGCGAAUGAUGGUACGGCGAAGGCCGGC